CGGCCGGCCGGGGCUCGGGAGCCCGCCCCGGCCGGGGUGCGAGCCGACCGCCUUCCCGCGCCGGCCCGUGGGGCGCGGAAGGGCGCACGGUGCGUGUGUGCACUGGCCGCGCGGGGGCACCGCCGGAACCAACUUCUGCCCGCUUUGAGGGAAUAUGGCCUCCGUUGAUAACGCACGGUUUAGGGAACAUCAAAAGGGGCUUCGUGGAGGGUGUGGCGAUUAAGACAAGCCUUUAAGUUCGAAGUGGCCACUGGAGGCGUCCCUCUUUCCCGACUUCUGGACUGAGCCCACGGAAAUCGAGGAUGCCGCAGUGUGUCGGAGGGGGACGGCCGCAGCAACAGCCUGGGCCAGACCCGACCUGGGCGAAGAAGGCGCUUCCCGGCUUCAGUUUUCCUUCUGGACGCCCAGUGGCAGGAGCUCCGCGGGCCCCUUCCAGCCUCCUCGCCCUGCAAAAUGGGGGCAACUCACUCCAGCACUCCACGGGGUAAAUCCAGUCCUGAGUCAUCCUAAUGGGUACAAAGUAUUACCUCAUUGUGGUUUUGAUUUACAGUUCCCUAACAAUUACUGAUGUUGAACAUCUUUUCUGAACCCUUCCUUUGAAUCUGGGUUCUAUGACCAGUCUUCUCUUGGUUUCUUCUAGCAAGAGCCAGUUCUGCCUCAUGGAGGAGGAAACUGAGGACAGCUUCUGUUAAGGAGGGCAGCUUGUGAUAAAGAGCAGAGAGAAGGGGCAAAGUGGAGCCCACAGCUGAACCUGAGCAGUGCCAGGAGAGGAGAUGAAGGGGAAAUCUUCUGGAAUCCAGAGAUUCUCUUGUCAGGAGGUUCUUAACCGUCUGGGCUGGGCAAUUUUUGCAGUCAGUUACAUUUAUCCUGGCUCUGUAGGGACAGAUAUUUGUGUAUGUGUCUCCUGUGAGUGGCCACAGGUGAGGAAGGACUUGUUGGGCUCCCCCCUGUGCAUACUGGAACGCAUGUUUUUGGAACUGCGUUUGUAAAAGUUAAGUUAAAAUGACGCUCACUUAACAGAAUUUUGCAUUUGCAUUUUCAGUUUCUUCUCAAGAACUAUGGGGAUGCUUAUUUAAGUGUUUAAAUAAUUAUCUCUUUUGUAUGUGUGUGAUUGCUCUUAAAAACACGAGAUCUUUUAGAUGUAUAAGAAACAGAACUUUCUAUAAUUCCAUUCAGUUUUUAUUUUGAUUCCUGUUCUGCUGCUGCCAAAACCAUAAUCUCGGUUAAUUUAGGAUUUUUCUCUGUCUGCUUCCCUGGAGUUGUUUCUGAGGGCUGACAUUUUGGAGGGCGGUCAUUUAUCUGGUCCUUGAGUCAGAUGUGCCCACAGAUUGCUGGGGAGGCCAUUUUGCUCCUGUCGUAGGAUCCACAGCUGUCCUGUGCAUCCACUGAGGGGUGGGAAUCUCUACAAAAUUGAUGUUGGUGCCUCAGCCAUUCCAUAAAGUCAUUCCUGGCACAGUGCCCUCUGCUUAUGGGACCUCUUUGUGUCCUCCCACAAAUUCACAUAUUAAAAUCUAAUCUCCAGUGUGAUGGUUUUUGGAGGGGAGGACUUUGGAUGUAACCAUAUGAAUAGGAUUAGUGCCCUUUUAAGAAGAGGCCAGAGAGCUAGCUCAAUCUUUUCUCACCAUGGGAGGAGACAAUAAGAGGGCUGCGGUCUGCAACUCAGAAGAAGGCUCUCGCCCACACCUGACCAUGCUAGCACCCGGAUCUGAGACUUCCAGCCCCUGGAAUUGUGAGAAGUAAGUUGUUGCUGUUUACAAGCUACCCAGUCUGUGGUACUUUGUUAUGAGUUGGCUCAGUCCGAGCCAACUCAGAUAGGACCCCAAACUUCUCCAUUUUCUUCAUCCCCCCCUCACACUCCUGUUUCUCCAGAUAUGAGAUGUACAAGUGAGGUACCUGGGUGAAAGGAAAAGAAAGCAAAAAAGAAAGAACCACUAGGUGUACUCCUGAUGCACCACGUCCCAUCUGAAAGUCUGUGGCUGCCCUUUCAGUCAUACUUCUUUGAAAAUCUUAUCUAAUUUUCUCUAUUACGCUAAGCCCUGGGGUCUCUCUUCCUCUGUAUUCAUGUGACUGCAGUGAUUUUCUGAAGGGAAGAUGCCAUUAAUAGGCCAAUUGUGUCUAAGAAAUAGGUACUUAACAAAACUCAGACAUUCCAGGAAUUAGAUGGUUCUGUUGAUUGCAAUUACACUCUCAACUAGAAGCCCCCACUAAGAGGUAAGGUCUCCGAGGACAGAGAUUUUAGUUGACUUUGCUCCCUGUUUAAUCCCCAGCAACUACAACAGUGCCUGGCACAUAACAGCCUCUCAAUAACUAUGUGCUGACUCCAUGAGGAAAUGAAAGCCAUAAGCCAAAAAGUAAACUGGAAAAGAUAAAAUGGGACAGAAAAAUUAAAUUCCUAAUAUAUAAAGAGCACUUAUCAAUAGCUAUGAAAAAAACACCCUUUGCAGCUCAACCCAAAAAAAAAAAACCCCUGAAAAAAAUGCCAAAAAAUUGGGACAUGAAUGGAAUGUUCCUGAAAGAAGAAAUGCCAAUAUAAUCAUGAAAGUUGGGCUACACUAGUUACCAAAAUCAAAAUUAAAUCAAAUAAAAAUUUCCUUUUUCCCAAAUAGCAAAAAAAGAAAAAAAAAAAAGAGGUAAUACUAGAACAUUGUCACCGGCAAAGAGGCCACUUUCACACAGGACUGAUGGGAGCAAACCUGGAAUGUUUUCUCUGGAUAGCAGUUUGGGUCCUGAUAAAAUGUGAAGUUCAAAGACAAGAUGGGGAACUGUAUAAUUCAGAGCCGCAUCAUUCUUUCUCCGCAUCUCACUGAUGGGAACACCGCAUGACUAUCACCUCACCUGAGCCCACGGCAACCUUAUGAGGCUGAUACUACGAUUCUCAUUUUACAGGUCGGCAGACUUCGAGAAACUUGACGAAUCCAGUUGAUGGGGAUGUGGAGCACCAGCACUUUCAUCUGUUAUGGAUGAGAACAGGUGCACCUGCUAUGGAGAAUGACUUGUCAGUUUCCUGGUGACAUUCAAGAGACUCAUUCCCUCCCGCACAGAGUUUCCUUCCUAGAGACGUGUGUUCAGGAUAUAUACAAGCCUAUUUGAUCCGAUAUUGUUCCUGAUACUGAAAUAUUUUAAAUGACUCAGAUGUUCAUCUGAAGGACUGUGGAUAAAUAAACAUGGUUUAUUUAGAUACCGCAA